ensembl:lncRNA
UGGACACACAUAAAUACACGCUGAAUGCUUGCUGUGGAACACUGGGCAGGACAGUUUGGUUCUCCGUGUUCACAGAUUACACAAUUAAAGGAACUAGGUUCCUCUUUUGGUUAAAAUAAUACACCACACAUAGAAUUUUUUUACACAUUUAUUACAUACAUAAGGAGGGUAAUGAGUGACUGCAGGUAAUGUAUGAAGUGUGAAUGAGACGUGUGAACAAGGUGACAACCAACUAGCACCCCUAUCAGGAAGCUCUAGGCAAGGUUACCCGCCAGACUCCGGUUUGGUAGAAGCCUGGUAACACCUGAAGGGAUAUUUCAGUGCUGACUCACCUUUAAAGCAGCGCCCCAGCUGUUAGUGCCUAACAGAGGCAGAAACCCAGCUGGCCCAAAUUCUCCUUUAAAAUCAAUAAAUAGAACAUAAAUUACCGGUGUGUGUAAAUAAGUUGUAUAAAUCUGUUAGAUCUGAAACUCCUGCUAAAAAACUUCCUCUCUACAACUCUUUUCUCUUCUCUCCCUCUUUCUCUCAGUUGGGAUUCUGUGUGUGUAUGUGUGCUGGAGAAAUAAAAAAAAAGGAAAAGGGUCUCUCUCUGUCUCUGUGAGAGGAAAAAGGUGGGGGCCGAGUGAGCCCGCGGGGCCGAGCGGGUCCGCGGGAGCGAGCGUGUAUGCUGUAUGAGGAAGAAGGGAGUGAGAGGGAGCGAGUGAAAAGAGUAAUCGAGUAUUUGGUGAUUUUUUAUUAUUUCAGAGGCACUGGUUUGACCUAGAGCCCACUAACUGGCCAUUAGGGGCUCUCUCUCUCUCUCUCUCUCUCUCUCUCUCUCUCUCUCUCUCUCUCUCUCUCUCUCUCUCUCUCUCUCUCUCUCUCUCUCUCUCAGGUUGUUGCUCUUUAACUCCUAGAACACGCCCUUGGCGAGGUGGGGGGAACUGGACCACCUUUCUGUGCCCCAUCAUCCUCUAUUAGACGACAUCCAAGCUAAGACAGCUGUUACUGCUUUCAUCGGGAACCGAGACUGCUUGCAGCCGACCCCUGGGCAGGGUGGUGCCUGGACUCUUUUCUCCUCAUCUGCAAUGACAGAUAAAGACAAAUGAUAAGACCCGAGGAGUUUUUCGAGCCAGGCUUCGACACGUCUCUGUGUUCCUUUGAAUGUUACUUAUUUUUGUGUGUUGACCCAUUUAAGAUGGGUCAAAAGGGGGAUUUGAAGAAAAUAUAAUCUGAUCAAACAUUAUUCAGCUUUAAAUAUUGUUCAGCUUUAAAGUUACUGUGCAACUGUGUAAUAAAAAUAUGCGCUCACGACUUUGGCCUUGAGAGCGAUAAGAAGCGAUCGCCUCAUUCUGCAGGUGCAAGAUAUCUGCAAGCGAAGAGACUAGAACACCCAAGGCCGCUUUCCUUUUAUGGAGUUGUUUUUCUGCUAAUGCAGCACUGUCCUCACAACC